AGCGAACGCUGGCGGCAGGCUUAACACAUGCAAGUCGAGCGGACCUUUCGGGGUCAGCGGCGGACGGGUGAGUAACGCGUGGGAACGUGCCUUCCGGUUCGGAAUAACCCUGGGAAACUAGGGCUAAUACCGGAUACGCCCUUAUGGGGAAAGGUUUACUGCCGGAAGAUCGGCCCGCGUCUGAUUAGCUAGUUGGUGGGGUAACGGCCUACCAAGGCGACGAUCAGUAGCUGGUCUGAGAGGAUGAUCAGCCACACUGGGACUGAGACACGGCCCAGACUCCUACGGGAGGCAGCAGUGGGGAAUAUUGGACAAUGGGCGCAAGCCUGAUCCAGCCAUGCCGCGUGAGUGAUGAAGGCCUUAGGGUUGUAAAGCUCUUUUAUCCGGGACGAUAGUGACGGUACCGGAGGAAUAAGCCCCGGCUAACUUCGUG
rnacentral:rRNA from 1 species